rnacentral:rRNA from 1 species
UACAGAGGGUGCGAGCGUUAAUCGGAAUUACUGGGCGUAAAGCGCACGUAGGUGGCGACGUAAGUCGGGUGUGAAAGCCCCGGGCUCAACCUGGGAAUUGCAUUCGAGACUGCAUUGCUGGAGUACGGAAGAGGAGGGCGGAAUUCCCGGUGUAGCGGUGAAAUGCGUAGAUAUCGGGAGGAACAUCAGUGGCGAAGGCGGUUACCUGGAGCUUUGCUGACGCUGAUGCGCGAAAGCGUGGGGAGCGAUCCGG